GCAUAGUUUCAUCCUGAGGGAGCACGGAAACCAGUCCUUUCUGUUGAAUGAAGGAUUUGGUUUCCAGGAAGCCUCUGCACGUGCCAGGCUCUGGUAACUUGUUUCUUUGCAUCGAUGGUCGGCCUGUAUGUGGACACUUCUAUGACGCCUUCAUCUCCCCCCACCCACUGGAUCACCCCCUGUCUGUAUUAGCUUGGCUGUCUGACUCCUCUCCCUCUGACCUCCUGGGUGAGCUGGCCCCUCGGUUUGUCCCCAGACGCGCUCGCUCGCCCAGGAGGUGUGACUCCACCCCUGCCCUACGCCAGCCAAAGCGAAAGUCUUCCUCUUGGGGACAGCUGUCCUGUGUCCUUCAGAGGAACCCUCCUUUCCUCAUCUGCAAGGUGUGGGGCUGGCCUUGACCCCAGCCCUGGGGUGUGACACUCGAGGCCCAGAGGGGGAGGUGGGUGCCCCAGGCCCCCAUUUAGGACAUCAGGGGGCAGGCCUGGCCCCAGGCACAGCCUCUUUCUGUCCUGGGAGGCAGAAACCACAUCCCAAGA
ensembl:lncRNA